rnacentral:misc_RNA from 1 species
GGAAGGAUCAAUAACGAAUCGAGGGAGGUUAUGCCUCUUGGGGCUUUGGCCCGAAACCAAUGUGCAUAGCGGGUCGGGGCAUGGGACAAUUGUAAAUGUAUGGUUGUACGAGUAUGGUUGUAUAAUUGUAUGAGUAUGGUUGUAUGAUUGUAUGACUAUGGUUGUAUGACUAUGGUUGUAUGACUGUAUGAGUAUGGUUGUAUGAGUAUGGUUGUAUGACUAUGGUUGUAUGACUGUAUGACUAUGGUUGUAUGACUGUAUGACUAUGGUUGUAUGAUGUAUAAUUGUAUAAUUAUAAUUGUUGUAAUGUCGCGAGCCGGUGUAUGGUCAUUUUGACAGGAUGGUCAGUGGCCUGUAUGGUCAUUUUGGCUGGAUGGUCGGUGACCACGUAAGCUCAAGCUAGAACGAGUCGGAUAAAGAAAAGCAAAAGGAAAACUUUUAACAAUGGAUCUCUUGGCUCUUGCAACGAUGAAGAACGCAGUGAAUUGCGAAAAGUCAUGUGACAUGCAACCUCUGUGAAUCAUCAAAUCUUUGAACGCACCUUGCACUCUCUGGGUCGACUGGAGAGUAUACCCGAGUGAGUAUCUGAAAGCAAUCCAAUCGGUGGGGUUAGGACCAGGAAGGACUAUUUUUUGGCCUUGGCUUUGGCUUUGGCCUUAGUUUAGGUUUGGGUUUAGUUUUGGUUUUAGUUUCAGAGGUUGGGGGCUGGGACCUAGUUUGGCUGUUGGUGUUGGCGUUGGUAUUGAUAUUGACAUUGAUAUUGGCAUUGGCAUUGACAUUGACAUGGACUAUCUCCUAAAAGAAAGAGCAAAAGGCCGGGGACCGAGUGUGGUAGGAAUAGGUAGUAUUCUCGCACGGGGUUCCAGGCUGGAGCUACAAACUAUGAACAAGUAGUGUCUCGAGAGUUCCGAGCCCUCAGGGGACAGCACCUCGAGAUCAAAAGCACCAUUUAGAUCUCACUUUGGGUAGGAUCACCCGCUGAACUUAAGCAUAUCAAUAAGCGGAGGAAAAGAAACUAACUAGGAUUCCCUCAGUAACGGCGAGUGAAGUGGGAUCAGCUCAAAAUUAAAAUCGGCGAGGCAUCCUCGGCGAGUUGUAAUCUAUAGAGUCGUUUUCAGCAGCGGCGGUGGUCCAAGUUCCUUGGAAAAGGACGUCAGAGAGGGUGAGAAUCCCGUGGGGACACACGCCAGAGCGCUACGAUACGAGUUCUACGAGUCGAGUUGUUUGGGAAUGCAGCUCAAAAAGGGUGGUAAAUUUCAUCUAAAGCUAAAUAAUGGCAAGAGACCGAUAGCGAACAAGUACCGUGAGGGAAAGAUGAAAAGCACUUUGAAAAGAGAGUUAAACAGCACGUGAAAUUGUUAAAAGGGAAGCGAUUGAGGCGAGUAUUUUGUGUGUGGGUUCAGGCGACCUUGGUCGCUGCAUUCGCAUGCACAAAAGUCGGGAUCGGUUCUGGCCGCCGGAUAGAGCCGGCAGCAAGGUGGUUCUCUACGAGAAUUCUAUAGGCAGCCGGCAGAACGGGGGGCGGGACUGAGGACAGCAGCGUAGCGCAAGCAUUUCGCGGGUGGCUGAACACCAGUCCGGGCCGGCCAGACAAGGAUUGACUGGGAGGAACGGGGGGUCUUAGGCUCACACGGGCUACAUACGCUUAGGAUGCCGACGAAAUGGUCUCAAACGACCCGUCUUGAAACACGGACCAAGGAGUCUAACAUGUAUGCGAGUAUUAGAGUGGCAAACUCUGGUGCGGAACGAAAGUGAGGGGUGGGAGUCGUUGGAUGCACCACCGGCCGAUCUGGAAGUCUCGGCGGACAGAUUCGAGCCACAGCAUACCUGUUGGGACCCGAAAGAUGGUGAACUAUGCCUGAAUAGGGUGAAGCCAGAGGAAACUCUGGUGGAGGCUCGUAGCGGUUCUGACGUGCAAAUCGAUCGUCAAAUUUGGGUAUAGGGGCGAAAGACUAAUCGAACCAUCUAGUAGCUGGUUCCCUC